rnacentral:rRNA from 1 species
GGCGAGUGGCGAACGGGUGAGUAAUACAUCGGAACGUGCCCUGUAGUGGGGGAUAACUAGUCGAAAGAUUAGCUAAUACCGCAUACGACCUGAGGGUGAAAGUGGGGGACCGCAAGGCCUCAUGCUAUAGGAGCGGCCGAUGUCUGAUUAGCUAGUUGGUGAGGUAAAGGCUCACCAAGGCGACGAUCAGUAGCUGGUCUGAGAGGACGAUCAGCCACACUGGGACUGAGACACGGCCCAGACUCCUACGGGAGGCAGCAGUGGGGAAUUUUGGACAAUGGGCGAAAGCCUGAUCCAGCAAUGCCGCGUGUGUGAAGAAGGCCUUCGGGUUGUAAAGCACUUUUGUCCGGAAAGAAAUGGCUCUGGUUAAUACCUGGGGUCGAUGACGGUACCGGAAGAAUAAGGACCGGCUAACUACGUGCCAGCAGCCGCGGUAAUACGUAGGGUCCAAGCGUUAAUCGGAAUUACUGGGCGUAAAGCGUGCGCAGGCGGUUGUGCAAGACCGAUGUGAAAUCCCCGAGCUUAACUUGGGAAUUGCAUUGGUGACUGCACGGCUAGAGUGUGUCAGAGGGGGGUAGAAUUCCACGUGUAGCAGUGAAAUGCGUAGAGAUGUGGAGGAAUACCGAUGGCGAA